AACGAACGCUGGCGGCAUGCCUAACACAUGCAAGUCGAACGGAAAGUGCUCUUCGGAGUGACUCGAGUGGCGAACGGGUGAGUAACACGUGGGUGAUCUGCCCUGCACUUUGGGAUAAGCCUGGGAAACUGGGUCUAAUACCGAAUAUACCCUGCUGGUCGCAUGGCCUGGUGGGGGAAAGCUUUUGCGGUGUGGGAUGGGCCCGCGGCCUAUCAGCUUGUUGGUGGGGUGAUGGCCUACCAAGGCGACGACGGGUAGCCGGCCUGAGAGGGUGACCGGCCACACUGGGACUGAGAUACGGCCCAGACUCCUACGGGAGGCAGCAGUGGGGAAUAUUGCACAAUGGGCGCAAGCCUGAUGCAGCGACGCCGCGUGAGGGAUGACGGCCUUCGGGUUGUAAACCUCUUUCAGUAGGGACGAAGCGCAAGUGACGGUACCUAUAGAAGAAGGACCGGCCAACUACGUGCCAGCAGCCGCCGUAAAAC
rnacentral:rRNA from 1 species